AUUGAACGCUGGCGGCAUGCCUUACACAUGCAAGUCGAACGGUAACAGGGAGCUUGCUCCGCUGACGAGUGGCGAACGGGUGAGUAAUGCAUCGGAACGUACCCAGUAGUGGGGGAUAACGCAGCGAAAGCUGUGCUAAUACCGCAUACGCACUGAGGUGGAAAGCAGGGGACCUUCGGGCCUUGUGCUAUUGGAGCGGCCGAUGUCAGAUUAGCUAGUUGGUGGGGUAAAAGCUCACCAAGGCGACGAUCUGUAGCUGGUCUGUGAGGAUGAUCAGCCACACUGGGACUGAGACACGGCCCAGACUCCUACGGGAGGCAGCAGUGGGGAAUUUUGGACAAUGGGGCAACCCUGAUCCAGCCAUGCCGCGUGAGUGAAGAAGGCCUUCGGGUUGUAAAGCUCUUUCGGCCGGGAAGAAAUCGCCAUCUCUAACAUAGGUGGUGGAUGACGGUACCGGAAUAAGAAGCACCGGCUAACUACGUGCCAGCCGCCGCGGUAA
rnacentral:rRNA from 1 species